GGUUGCUCUGAAGGUCCCCAUCCAGAAAAGGUGACCAGCUAGGGCACCCCAGGGCCAUCGUAGUCUUGUGGAAGUUUGGAGAUACCACUGUUCCUCUAAACGAGCUUCUUCAGCAACAGCCCCCGCCCAGGCUGGACCUGCAUACAGUGUUCCUACCUCAGGAAUAAUCUCUCUCUCUGUGGCUCUUGCUGUUCAGCUGCCCUCCUGAACCAGUAUCCAUUCUCUCACUGGCCUUGGCCAGCUUAGACCUUAUGUCUAUGUGUGCUAGUUGCUCGGCAGGGCCAGCAUCGCCUGCAGUGAGCGUGAGCAAAUCUGUCUUUCUCUGGGUGGACAGAAUGCCAGGAGUCCCCUCCCAGCAACUUCUGCACCAGCCCUCACACAGUGACCCCUCCCCAAGGCACAGUUCCUAUAUCUUCAUCCCACUCAUGUAUGAGACUUAGGAAGGAAAAGCCGACGACGUUCUUGGGGUGUUGGGACAGAAGUUGCCGUCAUUUCCGGGUUGAAAGAGAAUAGUUGUUGAAACUAUGACUAAACACUAUUCAUUAAUAAAGAUUCUAUUUUAUCAGUAAAGUAUAGAUCACAUUCUAAA
rnacentral:lncRNA from 1 species